rnacentral:rRNA from 1 species
UACGGGGGGGGUAAGCGUUGUUCGGAAUUACUGGGCGUAAAGGGCUCGUAGGCGGCCAACUAAGUCAGACGUGAAAUCCCUCAGCUUAACUGGGGGAACUGCGUCUGAUACUGGAUGGCUUGGAUUUGGGGAGAGGAAUGCGGAAUUCCAGGUGUGAGCGGUGAAAUGCGUAGAUAUCUGGAGGAACACCGGUGGCGAAGGCGGCAUCCUGGACCAAUAUUGACGCUGAGGAGCGAAAGCCAGGGGAGCAAAGCGGG